rnacentral:rRNA from 1 species
GGGUCAGUAGGUUGGUCGUACUACCGGUACGUACUGGUCUCACUGAUUCCUCCUUCCUGAAGAACCGUAAUGCCAUUAAUUUGGUGUUGCGGGGAAACAGGACUGUUACUUUGAAAAAAUUAGAGUGUUUAAAGUAAGCUAACGCCUGAAUACAUUAGCAUGGAAUAAUGAAAUAGGACGAUCGAUCCUAUUUUGUUGGUUUCUAGGAUUGACGUA